rnacentral:rRNA from 1 species
GACGAACGCUGGCGGCGUGCUUAACACAUGCAAGUCGAACGGUGAACCAGGGCUUGCCCUGGGGAUCAGUGGCGAACGGGUGAGUAACACGUGGGCAACCUGCCCCUGACUCUGGGAUAACUUCGGGAAACCGAAGCUAAUACCGGAUACGACCUCCUUAGGCAUCUUUGGAGGUGGAAAGUUUUUCGGUCAGGGAUGGGCCCGCGGCCUAUCAGCUUGUUGGUGGGGUAAUGGCCCACCAAGGCGACGACGGGUAGCCGGCCUGAGAGGGCGACCGGCCACACUGGGACUGAGACACAGCCCAGACUCCUACGGGAGGCAGCAGUGGGGAAUAUUGCGCAAUGGGCGAAAGCCUGACGCAGCGACGCCGCGUGAGGGAUGAAGGCCUUCGGGUUGUAAACCUCUUUCAGCAGGGACGAAGCGCAAGUGACUGUACCUGCAGAAGAAGCACCGGCUAACUACGUGCCAGCCGCCGCUGUAA